rnacentral:lncRNA from 1 species
UUAGCCCUAAUUUCUUUAAGAGUUGCGCCUGAACCCUUAUUUUUUUAUCCGUUUUUUCCAUAAUUUUCUCAACAAUCCCACCUUUAACGACAGUUACUUCUCCUACUCCAUUAAGGGCUGCAAAUAUUGAGCCUGAUCUUUCCUUUUCUAUACCCUUGUCCUUGUAACCUCGUGAAUCGCUCCUACCCCGUCAUGAUUUUUGCUCCACUAACAUCCACGGCCUAUAUGCCGUUUCAAACACUUUUCUAGUACCGAUUGCAGUUUUUCUUGGUUUACUAUUCACCAUCUCUUUUGCAUUAUCAUUAGCAUGGUCCAUGAUUGAUGAAGGGCACAUCUAUUUAACGUGCCUGUACGUACCACAUGAGAAGCAUAUUGUCGGUAAAGCCCUGUAUUCCACCCAUUGGGUUUCGCUAUUCACCAGCACCUGGGAUACGAGAGGCCCAUCGAGAUUAACGAAGACUUCCAUUCUGGCAAAACGUCCCAUGGUCCUCUGCUGUCAGUAUUAAAAUCGAGUUUAGCAAUCUUAACUACCAUGCCUUCGAUCGCCUCAAGCAUCCUUCUUUUGUACAUAAACCUCGAUAGUCUCGAUAACCUAAUCCAUGCCAUUACCACACUUGGAUAUGGUUGAAGCGGAGAAAAAUCUUUGGUCCACAGCUGAAUAGUCAGGUACUGCCUGUAAAUACUCCAUGGCCCUUGAGUCAAAACUUUCUCAUAAUCUUUAAUAUUCUGGAAUUUUGCCAAAUAAUAUCCAUUUUCCAUGUCCAUUAGUUGAAAGGGUUUUAUCGGCUUACAUAUGUUAUUGAUCCUAUUGUGAAGAGCACCAUAGCUAAUGCUCCGACCCAGUAGCUUCAGUACUACCAUUGUCACCAUUUCCUUAUAGAGAAUCUGUGUCACAUCCCGAAAAUUGGGUUAAAUGAAAUUGGGUUAAUGAUACCAAGAGUGGUCACAUCUUGAUUUUGAGUUAUUAUUGUAAAAAUUUUGAAAUGUGAAGUGAUCUGGUUCAAUUGUUAAGUGUAGGGUGUAUGGGUAAAAGGUCUUGUGUUCAAAUCACUUUCCUUGAACUUUUAGUAAUUUUGUUGCAACCCUUAUCCUUAGCCAUCUGACAUAAAUAAUAUUUUCACUCAAUUGAUAAUAAGAAUGAACCUACUGUUUUAGUGGUAAGAAAUAAACUUACCUUUUGGCCUUGUGUUUGAAUCUUUAUAUGUACAAAGUGAAAAUUAUGUUUUUGUUCUAAAUUUUGAAGGAAAAUUUGUUUGGAUAAGAAUUAGAUAGUGGAGUUGUGGGUAGUUUACAUUUGUUUUAAUUUUUCAUUUUAUUUUGUUCUCUUAAAAAAUAAUAUUAAUAUAAUAAAAAUUUAUUUGUUUUCCCUAAAUUUUCUCGAAUUCUGUGCCCACGUUCCCACUUUCUUUUUCUUUAUUCUUUUUGUUUUUGUUUUUCUUUCUUUCUUUUUCUUUAUUCCUUUUGUUUUUAAUUUUUCUUUCUUUCUACCAUUUAUAUUUGUUUUUGGUUUUCAAAAUGUCUUUUGCAAAUUUAUAUUUCUUCCCGAAGAUGGCUAUCGUGCAAAGCCUUUCUUUGUAUUUCCUUCUCUUUUGAUCCGAAUGCAAUGCUUUUGAGGUGUAGGGUAAGGUUCUAGUUUCUUUUAAAUAAUGUUUAUUUCGUGUUUAUUGAGUUAUUUAUGGAGAAGGUGAUGGUAAUGUAGGUCUAUGUGAUUUGGUGCAAUUAGGAGAAGAUCGUGAGACAAUCGAUCCUCUGGCAAAAGAAAUUCCCUUUUUAAGUUGCUAAUUCAUACGAGGGUAAGUAGUUUUAUUGUUGUAGGGGUUGUUUUGUUCUGUAAAUAAGGUUCCUUUGAUGAUGGAUGUACCGAUUUGGUCAAUCAAGUUAGAAGGAAUAGUGUUAAUUAAUUUGUGUGAGAUGUCGGUUUAGGUUACGGGGUUGUUCGUUCGUGAAUCUUCAUCAAAACCAACUUAGGUGUGUGUUUCUAACCCAAAAACAUUGAUUCAAACUCAAAAAAAUCUGAAAAAAAAAAUAAAGUUGUUUCCGAACUGCACACUACACCAAAACAGGUUUUUAGCGGCGUUUUUUAUGUCUUUAAAGCACCACUAAAAGUAUUUGCGCUGUUUUUAAAAGCGCCGCAAAAAAUGCCACUGUUGUUUGCGGCGUUUUUAGAAAUAAACGCCGCUAUAGAUCAUGACCUUUAGCGGCGAUUUCACCACAAACGCCGCUAUAGGUUAGGACCUUUAGCGACA